CACAUAGGGUGCGAGCGUUGUCCGGAAUUAUUGGGCGUAAAGAGCUCGUAGGCGGUGUGUCGCGUCGGCCGUGAAAACUUGCAGCUUAACUGUGGGCGUGCGGUCGAUACGGGCAUCACUGGAGUUCGGCAGGGGAGACUGGAAUUCCUGGUGUAGCGGUGAAAUGCGCAGAUAUCAGGAGGAACACCGGUGGCGAAGGCGGGUCUCUGGGCCGAUACUGACGCUGAGGAGCGAAAGCGUGGGGAGCAAACAGG
rnacentral:rRNA from 1 species